ACUGGAAAAUUGUUGGUGUUCUUUUUCCAAAACACAGCCAGGUGAUAAAAGUUCCAGAUCCUGGCAGAUCCCUUGAGCCCGGGGGUUCUGGGCUGCAGUGGGGCUAUGCCGAUCGGGUGUCCGCACUAAGUUCGGCAUCAAUAUGGUGAGCCCCCGGGAGCGGGGGGGCCACCAGGUUGCCUAAGGAGGGGCGAACUGGCGGAAACGGAGCAGGUCAAAGCUCCCAUGCCGAUCAGUAGUGGGAUCGCGCCUGUGAGUAGCCGCUGUACCCCAGCCGGGGCGAUAUGGGGAAACCCAGUCUCAG
ensembl:misc_RNA Metazoa_SRP Metazoan signal recognition particle RNA